GUUCUCGCAGCUGGAUACCCGACGUCCAAGUCCAAAUCCAAAUCCAAGUCCAAGUCAGAGCCGAACUGCCAGCAAUCACGAUCCGAUCCGAGCCAAGCCAAAGAUACAUACAUACGGCAGCACACACCUGCGAACUCUCACUGCCCGCAUUCCCCUUGCCACUCCCCCCAACACAUGCCACACAGCCCCACGAAAGCCCCCAGCCUCAGCAACAUCCCAUGCUCCAUAGAGCGGGCACAUAACCAUGCCCAUUCCGUAUCCACGUGUGCGUUCUGGCCGCCUUCUGGCAAUUGGCAGUACCAAUACCCAAUACCC
ensembl:ncRNA lncRNA:CR45411 long non-coding RNA:CR45411